rnacentral:rRNA from 1 species
ACUCCUGCGGGAGGCAGCAGUGGGGAAUUUUGGACAAUGGGCGCAAGCCUGAUCCAGCCAUGCCGCGUGCGGGAAGAAGGCCUUCGGGUUGUAAACCGCUUUUGUCAGGGAAGAAAAGGUUCUGGCUAAUACCUGGGACUCAUGACGGUACCUGAAGAAUAAGCACCGGCUAACUACGUGCCAGCAGCCGCGGUAAUACGUAGGGUGCAAGCGUUAAUCGGAAUUACUGGGCGUAAAGCGUGCGCAGGCGGUUAUGCAAGACAGAGGUGAAAUCCCCGGGCUCAACCUGGGAACUGCCUUUGUGACUGCAUGGCUAGAGUACGGUAGAGGGGGAUGGAAUUCCGCGUGUAGCAGUGAAAUGCGUAGAUAUGCGGAGGAACACCGAUGGCGAAGGCAAUCCCCUGGACCUGUACUGACGCUCAUGCACGAAAGCGUGGGGAGCAAACAGGAUUAGAUACCCGGGUAGUCCCAUGA